rnacentral:rRNA from 1 species
UACAGAGGGUGCAAACGUUGCUCGGAAUCAUUGGGCGUAAAGCGCGUGUAGGCGGCUUCGUAAGUCCGUUGUGAAAGUCCAGGGCUCAACCCUGGAAUGCCGAUGGAUACUGCGGAGCUAGAGUCCGGAAGGGGCGAGUGGAAUUCCUGGUGUAGCGGUGAAAAUGCGCAGAGUAUCGGGAGGAACACCAAUGGCGAAGGCAGCUCGCUGGGACGGU